AUGUCCCAGCACAGCGAGGUCACUCUGCCAGCUCCCGGACAUGGCCGGCGCUCCCACAGCCCUCCCAGCCCCGUCCUGCCACAGCUGUGCCCAGGGCCGUGCUGCAGAAAAUGGUUCUCCUCUGGGAGAGGCUCAGAUCAUCUUCAUGUUGAACUUCCUGGCCCCUCCUUGGCCGGUGGUGGUGGUGGGACCGUCCACCUUGCGGAAGGAAUAUUCCACAGAGAAGUUGUUCUUGUGCUGCCCCCGGCCACGGCUCCAGACAAAGAGCAGGAGGAAGCAGAAGAGCACCACGCCCAGGAAGGUGAUGCAGCCCAUGGCCGUGGAGACCAGGAUGGUCUUGAGGUCCAAGGUGAACUUCAAGAAGACCUGGGUGUUGUUGUGGAAGGUGUCGUUGAAGUCGCUGAGGUACAAAGUCCGAUUGGCGUGGUGGGCGCCAUCGGCUGGGCGCCCCUUGACCGUCAGCGUGGCGAAGUAGGUGUCAUUGCCACCGGCGUUGCUGGCGAUGCAGAUGUAGGUGCCACUGUCCUGCACCUGGGCAAAACGGAUCUCCAGGGUGCCCCCAGGCAGCACCGUGGCUCGCCCUGUGCUGCGGGUGGUGAUCAUGCGGUGCUGGGGGGACACCCAGGCGAUGGAGGGGUCGGGCUCCCCGUCGGCGCGGCACAGGAAGGACACGGACUGUCCCUCCCGUGCCGUCACGUGCUGCAGCUUCCGAUCCCGGAUCUUGGGCUUCUGGCAGGUGAAGUACUCGAAGAGCACCGAGUCCGGGAAGUCGCGCAGGGCGUUGCCCUGGAUUUCGGGCGGCGAGGAGCACAUGGGCUGCUGCCCGUCGAAGUUGAGCGUCUUCCGCCGCUGCAGGAUCCAGAGGAGCCGGCAGUCGCAGGCCAGGGGGUUCCUGUCCACCCGCAGCGUCUCCAGCGUGUUGACCGAGUGGAAGGUGCUCUCCUCCAGCGUGGACAGGAAGUUGCUGGAGAGGUUGAGCAGCCGGAUCUGUCUCAGGCCGGAGAAAGCCUGCGGCUCCACGGACACCAGGAGAGCGCCCACGAUGUGGAGCUCCUGGAGCCGGAUGAGGUCUUUGAAGGAGCCCUUCAGCACAGUGCUAAUGGGGUUGUAGGACAGGUUGAGGUACCGCAGGUACACCAAGUUCCUCAAGGCAGCGGCGGGCACGGCUGUGAUGUUGGUGUAGGUGAUGGAGAGCGAGGUGAGGUUCAGGCCCUGGAAGCUGGUGGGGGACACCUCCUCCAGCAGUGGCCAGUUGUCGAUCUCCAGCUGCAGGAGAUUGUAGAGCUUCUUGAAGUUCUGGUCCUCCAGCGCAGAGAUGCUGAGGUGCCGGAGCCGCAGCACCUCCAGGUUCUGGAGGUAGGACAGCGACUCGGCCGAGAUGGAGGUCAGGUUGCACUUCUCAAUGGUCAGCUGCUCCAGGCCCAGCAGCCCCGAGAAGGCGCGCUGGGAGAUGUACACCAGGUCAUUGUCACCCACCUCCAGGCUCUUCAGGUUGCGCAGGUCCUGGAACAUGUAGUCGAGCAGGAUGACCAGCUUGUUCUCGCUGAUGUCCAACAGGGUCAGGUUGGUCAGCUUGGUGAAGACCCCCGGGGGGAUGAGCUUGAGCUGGUUCCCGCGCAGCCGCAGGGUCUGCAGGUUGAACAGGUUGCUGAAGGCGCCGGGCUCCACAUUGGAGAUGAUGUUCUCGCUGAAAUCCAGCUCCUCCAGCAGCGGGUAGGGGGCCAGGUCCCCGGGGUUCAGGCAGCGGAUGCGGUUCUUGUUGAGCUCCAGGACACGGGUCUCGCUGGGGAUGCCCUCGGGGAUGGCGGUGAGGCGCCUGCGGUG
ensembl:lncRNA